AGGACGAACGCUGGCGGCGUGCUUAACACAUGCAAGUCGAGCGGAAAGGCCCUUCGGGGUACUCGAGCGGCGAACGGGUGAGUAACACGUGAGUAACCUGCCCUGGACUUUGGGAUAACCCUCGGAAACGGGGGCUAAUACCGAAUAUUACUUGGCCUCGCAUGGGGUUUGGUGGAAAGUUUUUCGGUCUGGGAUGGACUCGCGGCCUAUCAGCUUGUUGGUGGGGUAAUGGCCUACCAAGGCGACGACGGGUAGCCGGCCUGAGAGGGCGACCGGCCACACUGGGACUGAGACACGGCCCAGACUCCUACGGGAGGCAGCAGUGGGGAAUAUUGCACAAUGGGCGGAAGCCUGAUGCAGCGACGCCGCGUGAGGGAUGACGGCCUUCGGGUUGUAACCUCUUUCAGCAGGACGAAGCGCAAGUGACGGUACCUGCAGAAGAAGCGCCGGCCAACGUACGUGCCAGCAGCCGC
rnacentral:rRNA from 1 species